GUAUUGGUGUUUCAGUGGUAGAAUUCUGCCUGUUGCACAGGAUGCUUGGGUUCAAUUCCUGGCCAAUGCA
rnacentral:tRNA from 1 species